AGUGAACGCUGGCGGUAGGCCUAACACAUGCAAGUCGAACGGCAGCACAGUAAGCGCUUGCUCUUACGGGUGGCGAGUGGCGGACGGGUGAGGCAUACAUCGGAAUCUACUUUUUCGUGGGGGAUAACGUAGGGAAACUUACGCUAAUGCCGCAUACGACCUACGGGUGAAAGCAGGGGAUCUUCGGACCUUUCGCGAUUGAAUGAGCCGAUGUCGGAUUAGCUAGUUGGCGGGGUAAAGGCCCACCAAGGCGACGAUCCGUAGCUGGUCUGAGAGGAUGAUCGGCCACACUGGAACUGAGACACGGUCCAGACUCCUACGGGAGGCAGCAGUGGGGAAUAUUGGACAAUGGGCGAAAGCCUGAUCCAGCAAUACCGCGUGGGUGAAGAAGGCCUUCGGGUUGUAAAGCCCUUUUGUUGGGAAAGAAAAGCAGCAGGUUAAUACCCCGCUGUUCUGACGGUACCCAAAGAAUAAGCACCGGCUAACUUCGUG
rnacentral:rRNA from 1 species